rnacentral:rRNA from 1 species
CCUACGGGAGGCAGCAGUGGGGGAUAUUGCACAAUGGGGGAAACCCUGAUGCAGCGACGCCGCGUGUGGGAAGACGGUCUUCUGGAUUGUAAACCACUGUCCCCAGGGACGAAAAUGACGGUACCUGGGGAGGAAGCUCCGGCUAACUACGUGCCAGCAGCCGCGGUAAUACGUAGGGAGCAAGCGUUGUCCGGAAUUACUGGGUGAAAAGGGAGCGUAGGCGGGGAUGCAAGUUGGGUGUCAAAACUACCGGCUCAACCGAUAGUCGCACUCAAAACUGCAACUCUUGAGUGAAGUAGAGGCAGGCGGAAUUCCUAGUGUAGCGGUGAAAUGCGUAGAUAUUAGGAGGAACACCAGUGGCGAAGGCGGCCUGCUGGGCUUUUACUGACGCUGAGGCUCGAAAGUGUGGGGAGCAAACAGGAUUAGAUACCCUGGUAGUC